GGCUCAGAUUGAACGCUGGCGGCGUGCCUAACACAUGCAAGUCGAGCGGUAACGCGGGAGCAAUCCUGGCGACGAGCGGCGAACGGGUGAGUAAUGCUUCGGAAUCUGCCCAAUGGUGGGGAAUAACCAGCCGAAAGGUUGGCUAAUACCGCAUACGUCCUAAGGGAGAAAGCGGGGGAUCGUGUCUUCUUCGGAAGACUGGCCUCGCGCCGAUGGAUGAGCCGAAGUCGGAUUAGCUAGUUGGUAGGGUAACGGCCUACCAAGGCGACAAUCCGUAGCUGGUCUGAGAGGACGACCAGCCACACUGGGACUGAGACACGGCCCAGACUCCUAUGGGAGGCAGCAGUGGGGAAUUUUCGCAAUGGGCGAAAGCCUGACGAAGCAACGCCGCGUGGAGGAUGAAGGCCUUCGGGUCGUAAACUCCUGUCGACCGGGACGAAAGUAGGAUGGCCUAAUACGCCGAUCUAUUGACUGUACCGGUGGAGGAAGCCACGGCUAACUCUGUGCCAGCCGCCGCGGUAAUAC
rnacentral:rRNA from 1 species